AACUGGGAUAGUUCGCAAUAAUGCAGCUUUCCACUUGUCAGGAUCUGCUUUGUAUAUUUGAAUUUUGGACAAUGUGUACUCGUUCAGGAAGUUCUUCACAAUGGAGAAUGCAAGAGCAAAAACCUUUGGUGCUGUAAAAUUGAAACUUUGAAGUGCCUGUUAAAUGAAGACAAACCUGGUCUCCACGCGUAUUGUCUCAAAUUGAAGUCUUCCAUGUCAAAAAUGACAGUGAGCUGAUUUGCGACUGGUCCGUGCUUUUUACUCUGCUCUGCACAUAUCUUUAGGUUCAAACCGGUGAUUGCCUAAUCGCGAACGAACUUGAAACUUUUCAAUUUUGAGCCGCCGGGAUCAAGGUGAAUGAGGUGAAAUCGACCAACGAAUCUUGGAGAAGAAACCGUAAAAAUUAUGAUCCAAAGUUACUCAAUCGCGAUCGACAUCUUCGAUAUUUUUACCACAUCAUUUUACUUGGCCUUGAUACAGUGUUAUUCACACAUUUCAUAAAACAUCUGAGACUGAACUCACAUCUCUUAGCAUUUUUUCAGCUGCAAUCGGGUCCCAUUUUCGCGCUGAAAAAGCAAAAAAUAAAUUAAUAUUCAUUGAGUACAAGACUGAAAUAAUGUGGUACGAUGCAUGAAUACGGUGACCGCCUGCGGCAAAACUUUUUAUGAUUACGGUUAUAAAAUCUGCAGAGAUUAUAACAACUUUGGACCGCGUAUUUACAUUUUCUCUAGUCGCAAGCUAGUUCAUAUUCACCACUGGGAAAUCCAAGCCGCAAACUCGAGUUAACAUCAUUUAAUUAAUUGUUCAAGACCGCGGCUAUUAUUUAUUCUACGAUGAUCUAUACAAAAUUUACAUAUCUAAUUAUUAUUCCAAUGCCACAAAAUUGGCUCUAAAUUAACCAACCGCAAAUAUGUAUUAUAACUGGGGAUACUUCAAUUGUAAAAACUGUAUACGAAAUGGAUUUGUUAAUCAAAUCACAUCGCCCCGAAGUUACUGGAAUCCAGUUGUUAUUAAUACCUCUUAGCCACCUCAGCAGAAAUUGAUCGUCGUGGUGCGGUUCCAAAACAUCCUUCACGCUACGUCUGAACUGUAAAAAAAUAAAUAAAAAUAAAUUGAAAGUAAUGAAAAAUCUGGGAAUUAAUCGAAUCAUCUUCAGUUUUAUUCAAAAUCUGCAAUGAGAAUGCGGUGAACAAGAUAAAUAACAUAAUAAUCACUAGAUACAUGACCUCGAAAUUAUUCUUGAAAACCUGUUUUAGAUCAUCCAGAACGAGAUUGAAAAUUUGUAUAAGUUGUGAAAUACUUAAAACUUUUUCAUUUUACGGAAGAGUCGUUCAAACAUUUCUCCAAGAAAAGACAGCAUUAACCAUUGUAUGUGGUAUCCAACUUGAAGCAACCGAAAGAUUUCAAUGAUUCUCAUUAAGAUUCAAGAAGACUCAAUUUUCCGCAGUCUUCUCUUGAUGUAAAAGUUUCUAACAAUUUUCUGAGACCCACAAUAUGUAAAACGUAAGGGUUGAGCAAUUUAUCGCUACGAAAUCUACUCGGUGGAACUUUGCCACAUCUAAUUAUGUACGAGUAGCUGGAGUUUUAACAGUAUAUUAUGAUGUGUCUACAUUCGUAUACUCGAGAGGAGAUUGAAGAAAAAAAAAUCCCAUCUGACUGACGGUACAGAUUCAGAGAAUAAAAAAGAAAAAAAAAUUAUUCGAACGUAAGGUGAGCGUUCAUAUACGUAUGCACGUAGUGUAUGUUUAUAAAAAGUGUGAGGUGCCUCAAGAUUUGUUGUUAAUAGUCACAUGUUGAUACUAUACUGCAAUUGCCUACGCUAAACAUAACGUCUUUUCGAAGGCCAUUUCUUGGGACAUUCUCUACGACACUGGUUACAUAUAUUAUUUCAUUUUGCAUGAAGACGGAGAAUGGUUACAACUUAAGAACUCGUCGCCGCGGCUAAAUUUGAGAAAAUUUUUAUGACUUCAUUUAUUGCUAUUUAUUGCAUAGAAAUAAAAAUAAAAAACUCUUCUUUAAAACUCAAAUUUUUCCGUUUCGAUCCAACCGAAAGUUCAGACGUUGGGAUCGUUCAAAUAAUUAAAGAAAUAAUGAAUAUUAAAAAUGUAUUUUUACGUGCGUCAUGGAAUUGAUCAGAUAGACAAGUCGCCCAGAUGUUCGAGGGGAAUAGCCAACUUUAGUUUGUCUUUUGAAAUGACGCGCCUAUUUACUCAGGAGAAAUUUGGGAUGAUUGACCGUUUAAAAACUCGACAUUUGAGUGUACAUGUAAUCGAACAAAAUUCCUGCCAUAAAACGUGUGAAUAACGAGAAGCAAGUGCCUUUCUCUAUGUUCAUGAAUCCAUUCACCUCGUCAACCUCAUCAUUCAUUACCUCCUGCUCGAUUUCUUGGGAUGAAGUAAUUUUUUAUGAGCUCUAUGGAAGUAAUUAAUGUGAAAAAAAAAACAAGAAAUUAGUUUUUUUCCCUUUUUCAACGAAGCCUGACAAUACAACAUCGAAUGAGGCGUAGAUUUCGAAACAAGAAAAAUCUAUUACACGUCACGUUAAGAGUGAAUCGAAGUUUUUUCUAUACUUUUAGAUCGCUUGUUACAUUACUACGCAAUCACCGACUCGAGUCGUAAAAAAUUUUCAUUCGCUGAUGUAAAACCUUUGCUCACGGUUAGAUACGUCCGAUAAUUCUUCGAAAGCGAGGCAAAACAUUUAACAAAAAAAAUAAAAAUCAGGAAGAAAUAUAAGUUUACCAAGAGACUAGAGGUGUUAACUACGACCACGAUUUUGCAUCAGCGAAAACAUCCUUGAUAAUAAAAGUUUCUUUUUGGAAUAUUGAAUUGAGUAACCGAUGCAUGGGUGUAGUAAAACAGAAUUAACACUUGAAGAAAACUGAACGUCUAAAGAAAAAAUUGUAUAUUUCUAAUUUGUGGUUUACUAUAAUUUUGACUUGAGAAAAAAAUUAAAUUAAUAAAUUAAUAAAGUAGUGGGAAGUUUGUAAACACGUAAACAAGCCUAUGGCGGUGAAAUGUAAAGAGGGCGGGGAAAGUUGCGAAUUCCAACGAUAUAUCUAUAGGCAGGUACGGUAAAACGGUACAAGCUAUAUCAUCAUCUAGUAUCAGGUCAGAUCGAUUCGAGAUUUGAAUUAAAUUAAGAGGUUCGCCUUGAACCAACGAGCAAUUAAAAGUGGAUAAAACUAAUUCACCGCUUACGUAACGUAAUAAAUUGCAGCUUCAUAAUAUCUCCUUUUUUUCUCAUCUCUGCAAUUAGUUUUAUAUUUUAAGAAAAUUAUUUCCGGCAAUUUUUUCGUUUCCUUUUCGCCCUAACUUAUGUGCCCGACUUUUUUUUUUACAACAAGUCGGCGGAACUUACGUCGUUGUUAUACAAACGUAUCUAUAUAGGUGUUACAAUAUCGCCCACGAAAUGAUUAUGGAAAGUUGUUAACGACAAAAUAAAAAUGAAAAAAGAAAAGUAGAAAAAAAAAAAAAUGGGAAGUCGCAUUUAGUUAUGUUUGCGCGUUGCGCUAUGUGCAACGUGUGAAAGAAAGGU